GCCUUCGUGGUGUAGUGGUAAGCACGCUCGACGCGUAUUCGAGAGGUCAGUGGUUCGAGUCCCGGUAAGGGCA
rnacentral:tRNA from 1 species